rnacentral:rRNA from 1 species
GGCAUGCUUAACACAUGCAAGUCGAACGGUAACAGGCCGCUGUGAUCUCUUCGGAGUGAACUUGGCGCUGACGAGUGGCGGACGGGUGAGUAAUGCAUAGGAAUCUACCCAGUAGUGGGGGAUAACGUGAAGAAAUUCACGCUAAUACCGCAUAUGUUCUACGGAACAAAGCAGGGGACCUUCGGGCCUUGCGCUAUUGGAUGAGCCUAUGUUGGAUUAGCUUGUUGGUGGGGUAAAGGCCUACCAAGGCGACGAUCCAUAGCUGGUCUGAGAGGAUGAUCAGCCACACUGGGACUGAGACACGGCCCAGACUCCUACGGGAGGCAGCAGUGGGGAAUAUUGCACAAUGGGCGCAAGCCUGAUGCAGCAAUGCCGCGUGUGUGAAGAAGGCCUGCGGGUUGUAAAGCACUUUUAUUAGGAAAGAAAAACCCAGAGUUAAUACCUCUGGUCUUGACGGUACCUAAAGAAUAAGCACCGGCUAACUCAGUGCCAGCAGCCGCGGUAAUACUGAGGGUGCAAGCGUUAAUCGGAAUUACUGGGCGUAAAGCGAGUGUAGGCGGCUAUUUAAGUCGGAUGUGAAAUCCCCGGGCUCAACCUGGGAAUUGCAUUCGAUACUGGAUAGCUAGAAUUUGGUAGAGGUAAGUGGAAUUCCGGGUGUAG